GACAAGAAGAAUACAAGAAAAAGAACUGUAAAAUAUUGCCCAAGACAGGGUUGGUUACCUCAGAUGCUUUGUCAAGGCAACAGAACGCUAAAAAAGGACCUUCAUUAAACAGAGAGAAGACUGGGGUGUAGAGAGUGAUUUGCCUAAGAUCCAAAAGUAGAUACUUGCAACAGCGUUGAAAACGACAGAUGCUUACAGCCUGCACUAUUCGCCCAUACUAAUCUAUGAAAGGAGGAAUGAGCUGGAGCCAUCCCAACUGCCUUUACUUUUUUGUAAAGAGCUCGGUGCUGUCUAAAUCACAUUGAUGAAGACAACGAAUGACUCCAGGGGUCUCGGAAGGAAUAAGGAGCUACACCAUGAGACCGACUGCUCUUCUUUCCUCCCUUCCCUUUCGUUUUCAGUCCACAUUGUUAAAAGCAAAAACUUAAGUAAAAACUUGU